rnacentral:lncRNA from 1 species
GGAGAGCUGGGCUUCGAGGCGUCAGUGUGAAGGGAAGGCUAAGGACGCAUCGGUGCUGGAGAGUUGAGAAUAUGCCUUCCCCUCCACCCCCAACCCAGUCACCUUAUUUGAAAAAAAAUUAAAAAACACCUUUUAUUUAAAAACCUAACCCUGGAAGUUUGCUCGCUGCCUGAAAAUCAUAUGCGUGGUUUUUCCUGUUUCCUGCUCUGUAGCUGACAUCAGGGGAGCAACGUGAACACAGGAAAAUGGAAAUCAACAUUUGAAACUUUUAAAUGGAAGCUUUAUUGGGGUUCCACAUAUGGAAAACUGCAAAUAGCAGAAGUAUGUGACUCAAUAAAUUAUUCUGGAGUGACCACAUCCUCUAACUGCCUCCCAGGACAAGACGGAGAAUGUGAACAAUGCUCCUGAAGGCCCCUUUCCCUCAAAGAAUCACUGCAAUUGAAGGAAAAAUGCUCCAUGUCCCCUCUGCCAGUUGGUGUUUAUCAAAGGACAACGGAGGAAGAGAGACAAAGUGCCUGGAUGUGUGUGUUAAUCAAGAGUUGUCAGGACCCUGCCUCUAAAAGAAAGCGCUAAAAUGAUGCUUUUGACAAGACUUUUCUCAAAGUGGAUGCAGUCUAAGGGUUGGAAAACAAGGCCCAAUCAGGCUAGGUCUGACUUGUCGCCUGCUUUUGUAAAUAAAGUUUUAUUGGCUCACAGACA